AGCGGCGAACGGGGUAGGACAACGUAGGUAACGUACCCUCGGGGCGAGGACAGCCACGGGAAACUGUGGGUAAUACUCGAUAAUCUUCCUUUCCAUGAUGGGAGAGGAAGCAAUGGGUGUGAUUCCACCUGAGGAGCGGCUUACGCAGUAUCAGCUAGUUGGUGAGGUAACGGCUCACCAAGGCUACGACGCUUAGGGGGUGUGAGAGCAUGGCCCCCACCACUGGCACUGAGACACUGGCCAGACACCUACGGGUGGCUGCAGUCGAGAAUCUUCGGCAAUGGGCGCAAGCCUGACCGAGCGACGCCGCGUGCGGGAUGAAGGCCUUCGGGUUGUAAACCGCUGUCAGAGGGGAUGAAGUAUACGGGAGCUAUCUCCUGUAUUUGACAGAGCCUCAGAGGAAGCACGGGCUAAGUUCGUGCCAGCAGCCGCGGUAAUACGAACUGUGCGAACGUUAUUCGGAAUCACUGGGCUUAAAGGGUGCGUAGGCGGUUACCUAAGUCAGGUGUGAAAUCUCUCGGCUCAACCGGGAAACUGCGCUUGAUACUGGGUGGCUAGAGUGGGGUAGGGGUGUGUGGAACUUCCGGUGGAGCGGUGAAAUGUGUAGAUAUCGGAAGGAACGCCAGCAGCGAAAGCGGCACACUGGGCCUUUUCUGACGCUGAGGCACGAAAGCCAGGGGAGCGAACGGGAUUAGAUACCCCGGUAGUCCUGGCCGUAAACACUGAUCACUCGA
rnacentral:rRNA from 1 species